rnacentral:ncRNA from 1 species
GAUGUUUACGAUUUUAUCAAAAAUAUUAGCGAUACUUGAAUUUAUCAAAAUCAGCGUGAUGUAACCAUUACCAAAAGGUAUUGGUAACCCCUUGAAAAUCCUCCGUGAUCGGCGUCAGGAAUUGCAAUUAUUCCCUUGAACGAGGAAUUCCUAGUAAAAUGUGAGUCAUCAGCUCACGUUGAUUACGUCCCUGCCCUUUGUACACACCGCCCGUCGCUACCCGGAACUGAGCCGUUUCGAGAAAAACGGAGACUGCU